GUUGGGAUAGCACAGUUGGUAGAGCAGAGGACUGAAAAUCCUCGUGUCACUAGUUCAAAUCUGGUUCCUGGCA
rnacentral:tRNA from 1 species